rnacentral:rRNA from 1 species
UACGUAGGGGGCUAGCGUUGUCCGGAAUCAUUGGGCGUAAAGAGCGUGUAGGCGGCCCGGUAAGUCGGCUGUGAAAGUCCAGGGCUCAACCCUGGGAUGCCGGUCGAUACUGCCGGACUAGAGUUCGGAAGAGGCGAGUGGAAUUCCCGGUGUAGCGGUGAAAUGCGCAGAUAUCGGGAGGAACACCAAUGGCGAAGGCAGCUCGCUGGGACGUUACUGACGCUGAGACGCGAAAGCGUGGGGAGCAAACAGG